rnacentral:rRNA from 1 species
CGCCUAGCAUAUCAAUAAGCGGAGGAAAAGAAACCAACAGGGAUUGCCCUAGUAACGGCGAGUGAAGCGGCAACAGCUCAAAUUUGAAAUCUGGGUCUUUCAGGCUCCGAGUUGUAAUUUGUAGAGGGUGCUUUGGUGUUGGCUGCGGUCUAAGUUCCUUGGAACAGGACGUCACAGAGGGUGAGAAUCCCGUACGUGGUCGACAGUCUUCACCGUGUAAAGCCCCUUCGACGAGUCGAGUUGUUUGGGAAUGCAGCUCUAAAUGGGAGGUAAAUUUCUUCUAAAGCUAAAUAUUGGCCAGAGACCGAUAGCGCACAAGUAGAGUGAUCGAAAGAUGAAAAGCACUUUGGAAAGAGAGUCAAAAAGCACGUGAAAUUGUUGAAAGGGAAGCGCUUGCAAUCAGACUUGCCUGUAGUUGCUCAUCUAGGCUCUUGCCUGGUGCACUCUUCUAUGGGCAGGCCAGCAUCAGUUCAGGCGGCUGGAUAAAGGCCUCUAUCACGUAUCUUCCUUCGGGAUGACCUUAUAGGGGAGGUGUAAUGCAGCCAGCCUGGAUUGAGGUCCGCGCAUCUGCUAGGAUGCUGGCGUAAUGAUUGUAAGCGGCCCGUCUUGAAACACGGACCAAGGAGUCUAACAUCUAUGCGAGUGUUUGGGUGUAAAGCCCGGGCGCGUAAUGAAAGUGAACGGAGGUGGGAACCUUAGGGUGCACCAUCGACCGAUCCUGAUGUCUUCGGAUGGAUUUGAGUAAGAGCAUAGCUGUUGGGACCCGAAAGAUGGUGAACUAUGCCUGAAUAGGGUGAAGCCAGAGGAAACUCUGGUGGAGGCUCGCAGCGGUUCUGACGUGCAAAUCGAUCGUCAAAUUUGGGCAUAGGGGCGAAAGACUAAUCGAACU